GAGUUACUCCCUCCGUCCGGAAAAUGUUGUCCCUCAAAUGGUUGUAUCUAGCACCAAGUUAGUGCUAGAUACAUCCAUUUGAAAGACAAGUUUAGAACAAGCUUUUUCGGAUGGAGGGAGUAUUGU
rfam:Triticum aestivum genome assembly, contig: Triticum_aestivum_CS42_TGACv1_scaffold_513174_6BS